GACAUUUGUUGCGCAGUAAAUAGGCUCUCUCUCACACUUAUCUUAAAAUAUGUUAUAUUCUAGGUGGCAGAAAGUUGAGUGGCUUCAGAAUUUACAUGUAAAUUCUAGAAGCAUUACAGUGUCUAAUAAGACAUUCAAUUUGUGUGUAGACCAACUUAGCUGAUAAAUGCACAAAUAGAAAUGUGACACUAGGUAAUUGGUAUAGUAGCUAUCCACUCUCUCUCUCUCUCUCUCUCUCUCUCUCUCUCUCUCUCUCUGCUGCAAAACAAAAUCACUUGAAUAGGAACCCUGAAAAGGAUAAAAAGAAAUCCCACCUGAGUUUCUGCAUAUGAAGAACAGAGAAAUUGGUUUAGCAGUUUUUGAAUACCAUAAGGACCUUAGUAUGGUAUUGUUUGUACCUAAACAUAAGAAAGUUGUACUCAUGUCCAGAUCAUACAAUCAAAGAACAAUAGAUGAGGCCAACUAAGAAACCUCACAUUACACUAGAUUGUAAUAAUACAAAAGAUGGCGUUGAUACUGUUGACCAGAUGUACAAUAAAUACUCAGCAACGUGAAUGACAAGAAGAUGGACAACUGCUACCCACUGUUGAAUGUGGCUGGAAUCAAUGAGUAGUCAUUAUUUCAAGCAAAUGAAAAGAAUGAGAAACAUUCAUGUCGAGUUUUUGUAAAGAACCUUUGUUUUCAACAAAUGAAACCACAUCUUAUCGAAAGACUUGCAGUAUCAAGUUUACCAGCUGAUGUUAGUCAUUGCAAAGUUCAAGAGACACAUAUAGAAGAGAAACCAAUAAAAAAAGUUAGAUGUGGAAUUUGUGUAACAGCAAAGAAUAGCUCUACAGCAAUUAGAUGUAGCUCCUGUAAGGAUUCUGUGUAACAAAUUAGCAUUUAUGACAUGUAUGUAAAUAUUGUUAAACACCAGCUUAAAAAUGUUUGUUGUAAUCACUGUAUGCUGUAACGUACUGCAACAAAAUAUAAAACAGUAGCAAAAAAUAGCCACUUGUCAUCUACGAGUAUGUGUACAUAAUACACUGCAUGCAUGCUCCUGUAACAUUAAAGAGCAUGCCUGCUCUUGGGUUAAAUUAUAGGAUGCGGCAUGGUUCAAAAGGUCCUCUCUGUGUCUACUUUUUUGAGAAAAUCAAUGUUGACAUCACCACAGAUUCUGAAACCACAAUCCUUUUAUUUACUUUGUUUAGCAAUGACUCCUAUUUAUUUAAGAAAAGUCCAAAAUUUCCAGAUGGUUGUUGGUAAACUGCAGCAGUUUUUAUGGCUGCUAUUUUGUAGACCUUUUCGACAUUUGUUCCAGUUAAGCGAGGUGGGGUAGUAAAUUCUAUAUUUUCCUUUAUGUAAAUUGCUACCACACUCUGUUUGCUGUUUUUUUCUGCAACAGCAGGAAGACAUAAUGAAUCUAUUUAUUUUUGUAUAUUGAAUUAAUUCAAGGUUAACCCCAAUACUGAGAUAUCCUUUAGUUUACCUGUGAACAGUAUGUUAAUGUCAUUGACCUUGUUACACUGGGAUUGUACAUUAUAGUUAGAUUAGGUUAGAUUAAGUUUUCAUUUCAUAGAUCAAAAUUGAGGUGAUUUCUUGGGUGUGGAACAUGUCAGAAGGUAUAACAUAAAAAACAUAGAACAUUUUAAUAUAAUACACACUUCCCUGAUCAUUUGUCAGGAGAUUGUCAAGAUAUGUAAAUGCAAAGUUAUGCGCUUUUAAUGAACUUAUCAUACAAAAAACCUAAUCUUGACUGUUGUAACCAAGUGCUGUCAAAAUUGAAAUCUAACAGACAUUUUGACUUAAGCUAGUGUAACAGUCCUUGUUAAGAUAUUCAUUCACAGAGCAGAAGUUGCCUACCAAAAAGUCUUUCAAAUGCUGUUUAAACUGUGCUUUAUCUGAAACCAAGUUUUUAAUGGUUUCUGGCAAUUUACUGAAAAUGUGUCUUCGUGAAUAUUGGACUUCUUUUUGGGUCAAUAUAAGAGAUUUUAUGUAGAUUGUUAUUAUUCCUAAUAUUGAUAUUAUGUAUUGAGCUACUGACUGGAAAUAGAGACCUAUAAUUUGGAAAAUAUUUCAUUAAGGAAUAAUUGCACUGAGUAGCAGUUGUUAGAAUACCCAAUUCCUUGAACAAAUUUCUACAUGAUAUUCUUGAACUUAAACCACAAAUGAGUCUUAUUACAUGCUUGUGUAAUCUAAAAACGUUUGCUCUGUUUGACAAAUUACCUCAGAAUAUGAUCUCAUAUGACAUAAUAGAAAGAAAGUAAGCAAAAUAUGCAAGUUUUUUUCUUUAGUUAUACCUCCUACAGCAAUUCUGUGGUAUUUCCUUCCCAACAGAAUUUAUUACCGAGUUGUAAUCCCAGAAAUUUAAUACUGUAAACCUCUUCUAUCUGCAUGUAUUCAUAUGUUAUACACAUGAUGGAAAGAAAUCUCUUACAGGUUCUGAACUGCGAAGUUUAAUGACAGUGAAUUAGCUUUAAACAACUUAUUAACAUCAGUGAACGUUUGAAUAGCAGUCAUUUCUAAAUCUGUACUGGACUUGCUACUUAUUGCAAUGUUUGUAUUAUCUGCAAACAAAACAAACUCAGCAUCUCACAGUGUAACAGACAAUAGGUCAUUUAUGUAAACAAGAAGAAGCAAUGGAUGCAAGAUGGAACCUUGAGGAACAUCACAUAUAAUCAAUUCCCAAUUAGAUGAAGAUGGAUUACUUACUCUACAGAAUGUCACACAUUUUAUACUGGUCAUGAGGGUCUGUGAGUGAAAAAAUCGUGUAUGGAAAGGUCUCAUAUGUUCCUACCACAGGUGGGCAACCAGCAACUGGCAGCCUGCAGGCUGGAUCCAAUCCAUGAUUGAUUUCAAUCCCGCCCAUGGAUAACAUCCGCGGGAGAGGACAAGAUGCUCACACUCUACUCCACCUGAGACACAUUUUUGGGUAUUCCUGACAAUGCUUGGGUAAGCUCGGUGCCCAUUUGCAGCUCAUGAUGCAGACCAGUGAAAGACCAGUGAAAGUUUUGCUAGUGAUUUUUGUUCAUGGUGUAGAUGUGGACUUCAAAACAAUGAAAGAAUGAUUAGCAUUACAGCCAUUAAAAGGAACCAAUACUGGUGAAAAUGUUUUUCACAAAGUUGAAAAUUGGAUGCUGGAUGCACACGCAUUGCCUGAACUCUUACGGGACUUGGUAAGAUUGUCUGCCCCGAGUGUAAUGGGCAGGGGCACUAUGAAUUUAGUGUGUGGACAUUAAGUUAGGAAUGUGAGUCUCACGGGGAGCAUGCAAGGGAUAAUCCCUGCAGUCACAUUAUUCUCUGUGACCUCAGUGGCUCAGAUGGAUAGAGCAUCUGCAUUUGUAAGCAGGAGAUCCCAGGUUCGAGUCCCGGGCAAGGCACACAUUUUCAACUGUCCCCGUUGAUGUAUAUCAACUCCUGUCAACAGCUUAGGGUAUUGAUUUAAUUACAAUUUCAUUCUAAGAGAGCUGCAUGGUCACCGACGGUAUCUGUUCUUUCGGACAUGUCCAAAAGGACAGAUACCAUCUUCAUAUAGUUAAGGCUAGCCAGCUUUUAACCUUCUUCUUCUGUGUGGGAUGCACACACAUUGCUCGAACUCUUACGGGACUCAGUAAGAUUGUCUGCUGCGAGUAAUGAGCGUAACGGGCAGGGACACUACGAAUGUUGUGUGUGGACAUUAAGUUGGGAAUGUGGAUCUCACCGGGAGCGUGCAAGGGAUAAAUCUCUGCAUUUGCACUAUCCUCUCUGCCCUCGGUGGCUCAGAUAGAUAGAGCAUCUGCCAUGUAAGCAGGAGAUCCUGGGUUCGAGUCCCGGUCGGGGCACACAUUAUCAACUGUCCCUGUUGAUGUAUAUCAAUGCCUGUUGACAGCUUAGGGUCUCGAUUUAAUUAUCAUUUCACAUGAAGCUUCUGUUUACUGUAUGUGCUUGUUCACUAAUCAUUUAUGCUUCUGUCCAGCUUUCCAACAAUGGCAGCUAUUGUGCCACUCUGUAGCCCACCUCUACUUACCAUUAUGUACACAACAAUACCAAUAUAAGAAAACUGUGCAGUGACUGCUGCAGAGUUGCUGCAUGACAUGGCUGUUUGCAUGGUGUCUCAGCCUCUGAUGGGAUAGAAUGAGCCUGUGAUAGGGCUGGAAUAUGAACUCCUGGGUGGGUGGAUUGGGCAGGUCUUGCAUCUGGAUCUUCCACAGGGAAGGAUCUUAGGUGAGAUGUCCCUCAGUUCAGGGCAUGAUGAUAGAUAAUCAAAGCCCUGAUGAAGGAUGUGGUUCAGUUGUUUCUGUCCAGAGGCAUAUUGGGUGACGAAGGGGUCACUUCUUUGUAGCUGAUUCUUGGGAGUGGUGGGAGGAUUUGAGGUAUGUGAGCAUAUGGCACGGGAAAUCUGUUUGUCAACUAUGUCUGGGGGUAGCACUUGUCUGUGAAGGUCUUUGUGAGACUUCCAGCAUACCAGGCAAGGGAGUUCUUGAGACUGGAGAUAUGCUGUCCUGGGUAGCCAGGCUGAAUGGGAGAGAUUUUUUGGUGUCAAGGGGGUGGCAGCUGUCAAAAUGCAGGUGCUGUUGGUGGUGAUGCAUUUAAUGUGGAAAGAGGUGUGGUUGGAGCCAUCAGAGAGGAUAAGAUCAAUGUCCAAGAAAGUGGGACACCUGUUGAGGACAACUAGGUGAAGCAGAUGGGAGAGAAGGUGUUGAGAUUGUGAAGGAAUGAGGAAAGCUUGUCUUGACACUGAGCCCAGAUCGUGAAGAUAUCAUCAGACUGGUAUAGGAGGGUCCACGGAAGUGCCAAUGGCUGUGUCACAGAUUUUGUAUGUAUAUGUUCCCUUCAAAGGACAAGUAGUUGUGUGUUAAGAUAAAGCUUGUAAGCUGUAUGAGGAAUUAUGUAGUAACCAGACUUCAAAUCCACUAGCUAGACUCAGAGUCAAGACAACAUUUCCUCAUUACUUCACAACCUCAACAACUCUCCCAUCCACUUCACCUUGUUCUUCUCAACCCAGCCUGCCACUUUCCUGCACAUUAAUUUUCUCCACUCUGAUGGCUCCAUCCACACCUCUGUCCAAAUUAAAUGCACCAACCACCAACAGUAUAUGCAUUUCGAAGGUGCCAUCGUUCCCACACCAAAAAAUCCUUCCCAUACAUCUGGCCACCCAAGACAGCAUAUCUGCAGUGACAAGAACUCCCUUGCCCCAUAUGCUGAAGGUAUCACAAUGGCUUUCACAGACAAGAACUAUCUCCCAGACCUGGUCCACAAAAAGAUUUCCUAUGCCAUAUCUCUACACACUCCCAGUUCUCCCACCAACCCCCAGGAACAAGCUAGAAAGAGUGCCUGUCCCCCUUCAUCACCCAAUACCACCCUGGGCUAGAACAGUUAAACCACAACC